GCAAAUUUUCCCAAUUUCCUCUACUGGCUGAAUGACACCAAUUUCAUUAUUAACCGCCAUAACCGAAACAAGGCCAGUGUCAGGUCUAAUAGCAGAACGAAGCUUGUCCAAAUCAACAAUUCCAUCGGACCCAACCGGCAAAUAGGUAAUAUCAAAACCCUCCUGCUGCAAAUGUCUACACGAAUCAAGAACACAUUUGUGCUCGGUCUGAGUGGUAAUCAAGUGCCUUUUCUUCUCUCUGUAAAAGUGCAUAACCCCCUUAAUGGAAAUGUUAUUGGACUCGGUAGCUCCAGACGUAAAAACAAUCUCCUUA
rnacentral:misc_RNA from 1 species